rnacentral:misc_RNA from 1 species
AAGUCGUAACAAGGUUUCCGUAGGUGAACCUGCGGAAGGAUCAUUAACACGUUAUCCACGUAUUACCAACCGAGAACCGUUACAACAUUUACCCUCUGCCAGGAAUGGACAGCAACUGAUUUAGAGUGAUGGGAAGGGUCUGCUUCACGGCGCCGUGCUCUAGCUGUUACUUGUACGUGGUCGCGAGACUGCUGCAUACUGUUGAAUCUGAAGCGGAGGCAUCUCUGGGCGAACAAAUCUCCUUCCCUGAAGUGGGCGCCUGGAAACUUAUUCACAAUUUUAACCCCUUUUUGCUAGUUGACUUUUAUAUGUUGUACCUUCGCUCUCGGGCACUGUGCACACGUUUAAUUAUUUGAACGUUAAAAAUACAACUCUUAGCAAUGGAUAUCUAGGUUCUC